GAAUGAAGAACGUAGCGAAAUGCGAUAAGUAAUGUGAAUUGCAGAAUUCAGUGAAUCAUCGAAUCUUUGAACGCACAUUGCGCCCGUCAGUAUUCUGGCGGGCGUGCCUGUUCGAGCGUCAUUACGCCCCUCAAGUCCCCUGUGGACUUGGUGUUGGGGAUCGGCGAGGCUGGUUUUCCAGCACAGCCGUCCCUUAAAUUAAUUGGCGGUCUCGCCGUGGCCCUCCUCUGCGCAGUAGUAAAACACUCGCAACAGGAGCCCGGCGCGGUCCACUGCCGUAAAACCCCCCAACUUUUUAUAGUUGACCUCGAAUCAGGUAGGACUACCCGCUGAACUUAAGCAUAUCAAUAAGCGGAGGA
rnacentral:misc_RNA from 1 species